rfam:Ictidomys tridecemlineatus contig001860, whole genome shotgun sequence.
GGGGAUAUAGCUCAGUUGGUAGAGUGUUUGCCUGGCAUGCAUAAAGUCCUGGGUUCAAUCCCCAGCACUGCCA